rnacentral:lncRNA from 1 species
AGUUAUGUAAAAGACCCAGGAGUGCAGCUCGGAGGACUGAGGAGAUUAAAGUGAAGCUUUGAAGCUUUGAAGGAUGCAAACAACAUUUUUCGUGGAAUUCCAAGGUAUUUUUUUGCCCAAUCAGAAGACUAGUUCACUUGCCGUGUGAAGGCAACAGUGGAAUCUUCCCCCUGCCCAAGGAGCUUCUGCUCAAUAUAAGUUUUCAUAACGGGAGUAAUUUAAGACUUCACAACUUAUGUGACACGGAAGAAACAACUUUUGCCUAAAAUACAUAAGGGCCAAAUAUAACAAAAUAUUUGUCUUUUCCAUAAAAAUCUUUAAUAUGAUCGUCAUAUUGUAGUUUCUUUAAAGAAUGCUUGUAUUCUUCGGACCUACUAGGGUGAAUUAAAUGAAAAAAAUUUAAAACACUUAAUUAAGCCUGUCCUCUGGGUAUAAAUUGACCUUUACAUGUUUACCAGAGACACCAAUUUUUUAAAUAGGUGUUAAUGACUAGCCGCUGAUUUUGGUGAAACUGCCUAAACGUUUCUUAAGAUUGAGUCAUACCUGGAGUUCCCGUGGCGCAGUGGUUAACGAAUCCGACUAGGAACCAUGAGGUUGCGGGUUCGGUCCCUGCCCUUGCUUAGUGGGUUAAUGAUCCGGCGUUGCCGUGAGCUGCGGUGUAGGUUGCAGACGCGGCUCGGAUCCCGCGUUGCUGUGGCUCUGGCCUAGGCCGGUGGCUACAGCUCCGAUUCGACCCCUAGCCUGGGAACCCCCAUAUGCCGCAGGAGCGGCCCAAGAAAUAGCCAAAAAAAAAAAGAUUGAGUCAUACCUCGGCAGUAUGUAAGAAGAUGUGGUGCUGGGAUUUAGGAAGGCGCCUUGGCAAGGGUGGGGGGAGGUUGAACUUUGGUGACGUAUACCUAUCCUACAAGGCUGUUGUGAGAAUUACACACGAUAAUGUGGAUAAAAUGCCUGGAACAGAGUAAGUACUUAAUAAAUGUUAGUUCUUCAUCCUUUCAUGUUACUGAUGAUGGCCAAACACACAGUUCUUCCAGAACUUUUAUAUUAGGUCAUAUAAAUAUACAUUUUUAAGCAUUUGGCGAUCUAUCCUGAUUUUAGCAGUGUUAUUUUAUAUUGAUACUUAAGAAAAGCCCCAAUAACAUAUGUUGAAAGUGUAUAGUUUCUCAUUAAGUUAUAGGUUGAUGAUAAUUCAAAAAAUAAUGCAAAGGGUUUUGAAUUUCCUAGUGAAAUGAGACAAGGUUAAACGGUGUUCGAGAGUAGAAUAAUUACAUCAGAAUUCAACUUGCCCCAGUUUUAUUUGUGAAAUUUAAUUUAUCCCAUAAAGAUACUAAAUUGAUAAAGUAUUCUCGUAUUAGUAGAGUCCACUAAGAACAAAGUGGAGGCAUGGAGUCUGGACAUUAGAAAUGAAGGGUGUGCAGGCUGGUACAGCUUGUAGGAGUCAUGGAACUUGGAAGACAAGUUGAAAAGGACCCUGGAAACAUUUGGCUGUAGGCUGAGAAAUGCCUUUGAGAGAGUUAAAGCCGUAAUAAAUAUACCCAAGAUGUUUAAAGAAGAACCUUGUAAAAAGAAAGCAGCCACACUAGACUCCCAGCUGCUAUUCUUUCUGCCAUCCAGUUUAAGCCUCUGCAUGGUUUACAAGGUCUCCCUGUAGACAGUGGAGCAAAUAAUGUAACAGUGAGAGCUCCAGAGCAACUGUCAGGAUGAUUGUCACAGGUAAAGCAUUAAUAAGUAAGCAUAUACCUCCCCAAAGGAGAAAGAGGCUGGGUAGUGGCAGUGAGAGUUGGGGGGGGGGGGUUGGUGUUGAUAAUUGAGACCCAGAUGUCAUAUUUUAAAAUGUCCUACUUACCUUUUAAAGUUAUUAACAUGCAUAUAAUGUAGGAAAACUAACAUUUUGGAAAAUUUGGCAUCAGUGAUGAGACUAUAUUAAGACUUUGUAUGCAAGUUAUUGUGCAAAAUUUAAUUGUAACUGCAUGGUCCGUGCUCUCCAAGAGCUUACUGUUCAGAACAAUUGGUGGGUUUGGAGAUUUAGUUAAAUUGCUUACCUGUGAUACUGUUUUCCAUUACUUUUUAUUCAGUAAAUAUAUGUUGGAGACUUGUUAUGUGCCAGGCAUUUUCUUGCCACCAGAGGGAUACAGUGUUGAACAAAACAAAACAAAACCUUCCCUUAAGCUUAAAUUUUAUAGGAGGAAGAGAAAAAAAGACAAAUGACUUUUACUCUCAGCGAGAAGGGAAACAGUGGGUUUUGAGCAGAGGAGCGGCAUGAUUUGAUUUUGUUUUAUCAGUAUGACUCUGGCCUUCAGUUUUGAAAAUAGUGUGAGGUGAGGCAAGGAAGAAUCAGCUGGGAGGCUAUUGCCCUAAAAUCCACACGGUGAUGAUGGAGGCUCAGUUGGCAGAAGUGGUGGUGGAAGUAGGCAGAAUUAUGAUGUUUUUAAGAUAGAGCCAACUGGAUUUGCUGAUGGAUUAGCUAUGGGGUAUGAAGGAAAAAGAACAGUCAGAGAUGACUUGGAGAGUUAAAUCAUCAUUUAUGAAUACGGGGAAUCCUAUAGGAACAUCAGUCUUUUUUUUUUUAAGUUUUAUUGUAGUUGAUUUACAAUGUUGUGAUAAUUUCUGCUGUAUAACAGAGCGAUUUAGCUCUACAUGUACACAUUCAUUCUUUCCCAGAUUCUUUACCCAUACAGAUCAUCACAGAACAUUGGGCAGAGUUCCCUGUGCUACAUAGCAGGUCCCCACUGGAGGAGCAUCAGUCUUAGUGGGGAAGGUCAGGAGGUUGGCAUGGGGUGAUGUUGAGUGUGAAACAUCUAGUAAACAUCCAGGGGGAGAUGUAAAUCUGAAAAUAUGACCCUUGAGUUCAGAGAUGAGGUUUAGUCUCUUGUAGGUGGUUUAUGAAAUGAUGAGACCCAUUGAAAAAAAGUCUGAGGAGUAUCCACUGUGGUUCAGUGGUAACGAACCUGACUAGUAACCAUGAGGACAUGGGUUCGAUUCCUGACCUUACUCAGUGGGUUAAGGAUCCAGAGUUGCUGUAGCUGUGGUGUAGGCCAGCAGCUGCAGCUCUGGUUUGACCUCUAGCCUGGGAACUUCCAUAUGCUGCAGGUGCAGCCCUAAAAAAAAAAAAAA